GCCUAAAGAAAGAAACUACUUGGGUGACACGGCAAAAGAGAGCUACGGUCAAGAAUAAACAAAGAUGAAGUCACAUAGCAGAGUUGUUUUCCAAGGAAUCUCUUAUAACCAAAAAGCCAAAAAAAAAAAAAAAAAAAUCAUUUGAAAGCCUAAAAAAGAAACUACUUAGGUGACACGGCAAUAGAGAGCUAGGGUCCAGAAUAAACAAAGGUUCAGUCACAUAAAUAGCAUAGCCGUCUUUCCAAGGAAUCUCUCAUUGAAACCACAGCCGGAGCUCGAGGUCCACCCUCGUCGUCUCUCUGGCUGAUUCCUGUGAGGUCUCUUGUUCAGCUUCAAGAGAAGCCAUCUCCGUGCGCACUGGAACCAAUGGUAUAUCAUGCCUCACUUGUUCAGCUUCGAGAAGAUCAAUCUCUUCAACCAAUGGUAUAGUUUGGUCCACAGACGGCCCUAGCCGAUCGAGGUCCACCGUCGUCGUCAUCGUCUCUAUGACUGAUUCAAGUGGAGUCCUCCUAUCAUGCCUCUCUUGUUCAGCUUCGAGAGGAUCCAUCUCUUCAACGAAUGGUAUAUUUAGGUCGAAAACCUCGGAAACUCUUGGUGGAGAUGGAACACAAAAUCGAGGAGUUCUACUUCUCGUUGGAAUUUUAGGAAGUCGCCUGAGUGCCACUUCACAUAGAGAUAACUCUCUAUGAAAGAAGGCAAGAUAGAGCUUCGUCCCAUCUUGGGAGUGGAAUGACCAUAGUCGAAAUAUCUGCCCUACCUUGUCCUUGAGGUUGUUCUCGCGGACGACGUGGUUCCAUCCAGAACAUAAGGCGUAAUUGGGACAGUUCAUAUUCCAUCUCCUUAGUUUAGCAUUCCAUCCUCUACCAUCCGAUGCGACCACUAUCACAGCAACACCUUUGUUACUACUAUUAUCUCUUUGAUGUUCAUCUAUGAGGUUCAACUCUGCUUCGUUCAAGAAGUCCAUCUCCACUAUCUGGUUAAAGGGAAUCAAGAGACGUCCUUGGUUUGGGUUGACAUCACUCGUCUGAAUCAUCUUAUCAAUCACCAGCUUCGCGUCCACACCCUUUUUUGUUAUCAUCAGAUUAUCCAGCCAUUCCGGUGUAACCCCUCUCUCUCUUUUGACCGGCUUUUUUCCUCUGACCGAAGGCUUAACUUCCCUAAGAGGCUCAGCUCUGAUGGGUUCUUCUUCUUCUUCAGAGCGUUGAUCAUCAUCACCAUCUGUCACCAUCUUUAUCGAAAACUAUAGUAGGAUUCUCUUUUAG
rnacentral:lncRNA from 1 species